UUUUAAAAUAGUUUGUGUGUGUGUGUGUGUGUGUGUGUGUGUGUGUGAUGUAUAUAAACACACACAUGCUCCUUUGUUUCAACA
rnacentral:pre_miRNA from 1 species